AUUGGAACUGAGACACGGUCCAAACUCCUACGGGAGGCAGCAGUGAGGAAUAUUGGUCAAUGGACGAGAGUCUGAACCAGCCAAGUAGCGUGCAGGAUGACGGCCCUAUGGGUUGUAAACUGCUUUUAUAAGGGAAUAAAGUGAGUCUCGUGAGACUUUUUGCAUGUACCUUAUGAAUAAGGACCGGCUAAUUCCGUGCCAGCAGCCGCGGUAAUACGGAAGGUCCGGGCGUUAUCCGGAUUUAUUGGGUUUAAAGGGAGCGUAGGCCGGAGAUUAAGCGUGUUGUGAAAUGUAGAUGCUCAACAUCUGCACUGCAGCGCGAACUGGUUUCCUUGAGUACGCACAAAGUGGGCGGAAUUCGUGGUGUAGCGGUGAAAUGCUUAGAUAUCACGAAGAACUCCGAUUGCGAAGGCAGCUCACUGGAGCGCAACUGACGCUGAAGCUCGAAAGUGCGGGUAUCGAACAGGAUUAGAUACCCUGGUAGUCCGCACGGUAAACGAUGGAUGCCCGCUGUUGGUCUGAAUAGGUCAGCGGCCAAGCGAAAGCAUUAAGCAUCCCACCUGGGGAGUACGCCGGCAACGGUGCAACUCAAAUGAAUUGACGGA
rnacentral:rRNA from 1 species